ACGGAAGGCAGCAGUGGGGAAUAUUGCACAAUGGGGGAAACCCUGAUGCAGCGACGCCGCGUGAGUGAAGAAGUAUUUCGGUAUGUAAAGCUCUAUCAGCAGGGAAGAAAAUGACGGUACCUGACUAAGAAGCCCCGGCUAACUACGUGCCAGCAGCCGCGGUAAUACGUAGGGAGCAAGCGUUAUCCGGAUUUAUUGGGUGUAAAGGGUGCGUAGACGGGAAGUUAAGUUAGUUGUGAAAUCCCUCGGCUCAACUGAGGAACUGCAACUAAAACUGGCUUUCUUGAGUGUUGGAGAGGAAAGCGGAAUUCCUAGUGUAGCGGUGAAAUGCGUAGAUAUUAGGAGGAACACCAGUGGCGAAGGCGGCUUUCUGGACAAUAACUGACGUUGAGGCACGAAAGUGUGGGGAGCAAACAGGAUUAGAUACCCUGGUA
rnacentral:rRNA from 1 species